ACGCUGGCGGCGUGCUUAACACAUGCAAGUCGAACGGUGACGGAGAGCUUGCUCUCCUGAUCAGUGGCGAACGGGUGAGUAACACGUGGGCAACCUGCCCCAGACUUCGGGAUAACGCUUCGAAAGAGGUGCUAAUACCGAAUACGAACCUCCCUGGCAUCUGGGAGGUUGGAAAGUUUUUCGGUCUGGGAUGGGCCCGCGGCCUAUCAGCUUGUUGGUGAGGUAACGGCUCACCAAGGCGACACGGGUAGCCGGCCUGAGAGGGCGACCGGCCACACUGGGACUGAGACACGGCCCAGACUCCUACGGGAGGCAGCAGUGGGGAAUAUUGCGCAAUGGGCGAAAGCCUGACGCAGCAACGCCGCGUGAGGGAUGACGGCCUUCGGGUUGUAAACCUCUUUCAGCAGGGAAGAAGCGAAAGUGACGGUACCUGCAGAAGAAGCACCGGCUAACUACGUG
rnacentral:rRNA from 1 species